rnacentral:rRNA from 1 species
CCUACGGGUGGCAGCAGUGGGGAAUAUUGGACAAUGGGGGCAACCCUGAUCCAGCCAUGCCGCGUGUGUGAAGAAGGCCCUCGGGUUGUAAAGCACUUUCAGUGAGGAAGAACGCCUGGUGGUUAAUACCCAUCAGGAAAGACAUCACUCACAGAAGAAGCACCGGCUAACUCCGUGCCAGCAGCCGCGGUAAUACGGAGGGUGCGAGCGUUAAUCGGAAUUACUGGGCGUAAAGCGCGCGUAGGUGGCUUGAUAAGCCGGUUGUGAAAGCCCCGGGCUCAACCUGGGAACGGCAUCCGGAACUGUCAAGCUAGAGUGCAGGAGAGGAAGGUAGAAUUCCCGGUGUAGCGGUGAAAUGCGUAGAGAUCGGGAGGAAUACCAGUGGCGAAGGCGGCCUUCUGGACUGACACUGACACUGAGGUGCGAAAGCGUGGGUAGCAAACAGGAUUAGAUACACUGGUAGUC